AUUUGUUUUCCCCUCUCCUUUCCUUUGAAUCCCACUUUCUGUCUUCAUUCCCCUGUCAUCUGAGUGCUAUUUGGCCCCUUUACUUUAUUUUAGUGUGUCUUCUCUUUUCUUUGUUUUUUUCAAACUCACUCUUGACCAUUCUUCGUUCUAUUUUAUUGCAGUCCCGUUUCUUUCCCUCUUUCUCUGUCUCUCCCUCAUUUACUUCUCCUGAGAUUUACGCAGCUUGACUUCAUGAGCUCACUGUCACAUCAAGGGAAAACAGAAAGGAGGAGCCAUGGCUGGAGGGAGGAGGCUUAUCUUACCUUGUAAC
rnacentral:lncRNA from 1 species